GAGGAAGUGAGAAGUUGACAUCCUUUAAGCACGAACACUGCUGCUGCUGCUCCGACCUUUACUGAAGAAAAUAGCAACUGGCUCUCUGCACGGCUGUGCCUCCUCCCUGCCUCAGUGGGAACCACCAAACUCUUGCCGGGGGAGCACUGGAGAGAGAGUCUGAUAAGCUUUGAAAAGAGGUGGCAAGGAAAAACAGCUCCCUGUGGACACUACCGACAUGGAAAAAGGCCAAGACUGGCAACGCCAUUGGGAAGAAGGGGAUCCAAGGGCCCGACUUUUCACAGGCACUCCACAGCUUGCUGAGCUGACUACAGAAUGAAACGCUCUUCUCCGACUUCGCUCGACUCCUGACCUUCCAUUUCCUGACCUACAUCCAUCCGUGUGCAUCAGUGGAUCAUUUCUACCCCGAAUCCUCAAUGCUGAAAAAGAUCGCGUGCUCUUCACAAGUUUGCCAUUAAACAACUCACAUCAAAGCAUGUCUGCUUAGAUUAAUGAUAACGAGCUAAUGCCCAGACUGGAGACUGAAACUUUCCAAAUAUCUUCUUACACACUCAACAGCCUGAAUAACUCUUUGGGGUAAAACUAUUUCUACAGCUAAUUUUUUCUCAACUCUAUCUUUCGAAACACACGCAAUGUGACAGGAACAGCCAAGAUACUGUCAGUAUCUUUGAAAAAUUCUGCCUGAAACAAGGGAUCUGUAUUUAGAUAUGACUGAAGAGGAAAUCAGAUCUCUUGUUCAGCUCUCCAAAAGAUCUGUGAUGCGUUGCAUUUAAACAUGUGCUUCCUCUUACUCAGAUCUUGCGCAGAAUACCAGCAAUGCCUCUCAACUGAGAAAGCUAUUCUCAUCCUGUGCUCCUGCAAGGAUCAUAUAAACUUCCAAAUGCAUCAUGUCCUGAUCACUUAAGGUGAGGGUCAGGGAACUCAAAUGUAUGCACAAGCCAAGGUGGUGCUGGCGCUGGGCCUUGUAAAAGAGCAAAGGAGGCUGAAUGGCAAACCAGCCUAGAGGUUGUAUCAAGAACAAGGGCAAAUGGCAGCUAGUAUUGGACUUCAGGGUCAGUUAGAACAAGGGUACCUUGGGGACUGGAGCAAACUGGAGAGAGUGGUCUCAGCUGGUCGAGCUCAGUCACCAGCUCUUCGGAUUCCAAGGUCUAAGUUCUCAAGAGUGGCUAGCAUCAAGAUUUAUGACUGAAGACUCCAAGUUGUAAAUAAUGGCAACCAACUGUAUUUUUUGUCAACACUGUACUCAAAGCACAUUAGAACAGGCUGCAGACCAGUAGCUGAUGACAUCUGCUUUCGGUCUAAGCUACCCAUUGUCAUUUUCAAUGGCCCACUGAUUCUUAUAAACUUUUGUCUCCUCCAAGACGACAGAAAGAUCUUUUGUGACUGGAAAUACAUACGACCCUCCGAAGACUGGCACCAAUUGUAGAACCCAACACCCGAUGCCCCAUGGUCCAGAACAGCUGGAUUAAAGCAUCCCGAGUUGCUGUGGCCGGCACCUAUAGCUCUGAUUCGACCCCUAGCCUGGGAACUUCCAUAGGCCACAGGCGAGGCCCAAAAAAAUCCACAUUAACCAAUAGGACGUUUGUGCAGCUCAUGGUUCCAGGAGUUUCCCCCAACCCUUCAGCUUCAUGAUCUCAACCACUGUUUGCCCUGGAGCCAGGAGAGAGGUGAAGGCAAAUGCCCUGUCUGGGCAAGUGCUCCAAAGGCCCACAGAAACCAAGAUAAGUCUGGGAGAGAAGGUGACAACGAUCCCAAGUUCGUACAGUGGAACUUUAGAAAAGGAUGAGGAGGCUGAGAAGACUGAACUCAGGGACAUACGACUUCUAUAGAAAAGGAACAAGGCCUUCCAGCUCCUUGGGGAAGAAAAGGUAAAGAGGGAGGGAAAUGACAUUCAAAUAGAAAGCAAGUUUAAGGAAAUGCCCAGAGAAGCCCCUGGGCUGUAGCUGCUUUGAUGUAAAAUUCACAGGACUAUCUAGUAAAUUCACAGGUCCAUCUCUAAGGACCAAGCCCUACACUGAGCAGCUCAAGGGUCCUUUCGGUUCUACGGUCCCUGCCAGUGAAACUGGAGACUGCCUUGGUUCAGUCGCCUUUCAAGUACCUCCUGAGUCCUUUCUCCCUUUCAGAUGCCUCUGGCUUAUCUUGAUGCACGCAUUCUGUGAGCUCUAUCUUCACCCCUCGGCUCUGAGACACACUGUGCCCCCUCAAGCUUGGCACCAAAGAUCCAUUUUAACUUUGGGUUUAAGCAGGUCCCUUUCAUCCCUCAUUUCCUCACCUACAAAUAGGGAAAUCCCACCUAGCUAGCUCAGAGCGGGGAUUCGUGGAAAGAACCAACCAAUGGCUCCAACACAAACGGUGCGCAAAUGUUCUUCUCCCUCCCCAAGCCUGCAGCCUCCCACUCAAGCCCCAUCCUUUUCUAGUUUAUGACCCAAAGCGACAAACGUACAAAACUGAAAUACUGGCUGAACCAAAGAGAAGCUUGAAGAAAUAGACAAGUUAUAAAUCUCAUUUCCUUUUUCUUACUCAUCAAUAUAAAUUUGCUCAGUGACAGAUUAACGAAAAAGCUAUCAAUUCCAAGAAGCUGGAUGCAAAAACCCAACAUCAAGUACACAGUAGCCCGUAUCAACAGCCAGUAAUAAUUUUUACUGCUGCCUGUUAUGCUAGUUGCCAGGACAUGUUUCUUUUUUUUUUUUUUUAAUCUUGGAUGUGGUUUUAAAUAUAGUAAUAAAAGAAAAUAUGACCGGCUGUUGAAGCCCAUAUGCUCCUCCUUUUCAGGACUACAAACUGCUCAUUCAGAGUUGGUUUGUACACAGCAAGGAGCAGCCGGAGGGGAGCCAGAGAAAUCAAUGAAAAUGCAACUGUUUGGCAAAGUAGUAAAUAGAAAAUUGGGGCUGGGUUUCUCUGGUUUCUUCUAAUUGGAAGCCCCGGAUGCAAAUCAGGUUGAUCCUUGAAUUUUUAUUGCCGGUUCACUCAAGACUCACAUAGAAUGCCUGGUUAAUGAUCUUAGCUUCAUCUUAGUGAAUGCUCAAAAGCUUUAAGCCCAGGUAACCACUCUUUGCUGCUUGAAAUGCUCCCCGCAAAGCACUUUCCUUCUCUCUCCUCACUGGCUGUUCCUCCUGUUCCUUUGCUGGUUCACGCUCCUUUAAAUGUUAACUUCCACCCCACUUGGUCCUUUGCCACUUUUUCUUUCUUCCUAAGUGGGAUCACACCUGUUCCAACAGCUUCAAAUACUCCCUUGUACAAGGGCA